rnacentral:lncRNA from 1 species
AUUUUAAGUUUUGGAUUUAUGGGGCUUUAUUCAUAAAAAAAAGGGGGGAUUUUCAACACUUCGGACAAUAACUCAAAAAGGCUUUCACCAAUGUCCAUGAAACUUUGGUGAAUUGUUUAUAUCUAUUGAUGUAAGCUCCCUUUCAAUUUUUAUAAAUUUCAGAUUUUACAUUUCCGUGUUAUGAAUUUUUAUGCUGAAAAAAGGGGGGAUUUUCCAAUUUUGGGACAAUAACUAACACUUUCACAAAAUUUUAUGCAACUUUGAUAAAUUGUUUAUAUCUAUUGACAUAAGCUCCC